GCUAAUUCCAGCAUUCAAGUGGCAUCUUGAGGACAAUAUAUAUAGCUGGUGGAUAAGAUCAAGGGAAUAGUAAUUGUAAUGCAAUAUUAAUUGUAUAUAUCUAGUUUACUCCAACAUUAUAUAUCAAUUAUUAUCAAUACUAGAUGAUUCCAAAACCAUGUAGAGCUCGCUUCGACAACAGUUAAACUCGAAGAUAAUCCCUUCUUGGUUUUCUCUUAAAAAAUGUGCGCUAUGGGCAUGUUUGGCAUGCAGUUUUGGGGCGCUGGAGAGUUCGCUAAUGUGGUGAUCGACAUCUCCAAACUCAAGAUCCUUCAAGCUCGCAACUUCCACUUGCUCACAGGAGAAGUCGAGAACUUGGAAAGUAGCUAGAGAUCGAGGCCAUUUCUGGGGAGGAUCUCGUACGAGCUCUGUGCGUUUCAAGUAGCGUGUUGAAUAAAUCCAGCGAACAACUGAUCAAGAGCAAAUAAGGAGUCAACAUCUUAAGCGAACGUGUGGGGGUCGAUGCGGAGAGAAAUAUCCUCACAAAAGGCAAGCAAUUAAGUGCCGAAUAUUCAGGGACGAAAAAGUGAAGCCUUUUGAAUUGUUGUUCUUCACACAGCUAUAUAUUAUAAUGCAUAACUAAGCUCGAAUUAUAAUACAUUUAGCUGUACAAAUCUUUCGAUAUUUUCCCUUAAUUAUUUGUCUGAAUCAAUAGUCGACACUAUCAAAUAUGAUUUGCAUCUCAUGAACCUUCUAAAAACGAAAUUUUUAAUUUUUUAAA